rnacentral:lncRNA from 1 species
UGGCAUCUUUCAGUUUUAUAAUUGAAACGUUUACAGCAACAAAAACAUGUGGGAAUUCAAUAUGAUCCAUGUCACUGGAUUAAAAAUCUGUCUCUCAAUUUAUUUACUGCUCCACCUAUGGCUUUUACUGCACCUGUCUCCACAGGCAUCAGAGCAUUCGUGUUUUGUCUGUCUUUUCCAUGGCCAGAUGAAGUCAUCUUGGAGCAUGGGUGCGGCGGUGAAAGACACACAUAGUGAAUUUACAUCUCCGGGAUAAAGGGAGAAGCCAAGGAAAGAUUUCCCCUGUGAGCUGGCUUUUAUCGUCAGUGUGAACAUCUUAGUCAGCACAAGCUCAGAUUGCCAAAAUUGUGCAGCUGGGUGCUGUGAGGGCUACAGUCCCUGCAGCUUCCUGGUUCUCUGCAUCAGCCAAUGAUGAAGGCUCCAGGAUCUACUGCUCCUCUGGCAGGAACUGCUGAGCCCAGGUCAAAUUUCUGGGAAGAUGGAGACAAGGAUGCUGCACUCCACUAUGGAGCAAACCCACAGCUUGACCUCCUUCCAAUGCAUGAUUUCUCUUCUGAGGGACCUGCUGAGGGCAAGACUUAUUUGCAUGGGGCACCUCUGACUCUCCUGUGGCAGCUUGUCACCACUGUCACCAGCAAUCACCUGCACUGCAAGGUCCCUGAGAAUCAUCCUCUUCCUUGCAGAGCCUUGUAAAGCUUGUAGGAUGGUCAGGUCAGCUGAGGAGCAGUUGCUUGCUCCUCUUGUCUUCCUCUCCAGCCCCCACUCCCCGUUAAUACAGGCAGCUCCCUCCUGUGCUGAGGGUAGUUUCCAUAGGGUCAGGAAAUAUAAGAAAUAGAGAGAGGGGAAACUCUGGACCCACUGGGCAAACCUUGACUCUGCUGGAGGGGCCUGAAUAUGUGUGAGAGCUGUGGUAGUCUGAAUUUUGUGUACUUGAGCUGGAGGCUUUGGAUAUUGGUGUGAAUAGCCAAGUUACUUUGAGAAGACUUCAGGCUGAAUGAAAAAUGAAUUCCCUAAAUCUCUCCCCUAGGGUCUCAUUGACUUCAGCAAAAUCCUUCCUCAGAGGCAACUUGAAAAUCUUCAUUCAUUGAAUUCUCAGCAAUGCUCUGCUAUCGAGUUCCCUUUGAGAAGGUUUUUGUGCUGUAAUCUGCUGGCUGGUUAUUUAACUGGUGCUGCUUACGGACCUCCACUAAUUGUUGCACAUCUUGUAAUUUUUAAGGGUUUAUUUUGGGUCCUUUGUGAAGCAUAAGGAAAUGGAUGAUUAGUGAAAUUCUUCCCAGUAUUUUAGAAGCAUUAGUAAAUGUUGAAUAAAGGGCAAUCACACUGUUGUUUUCA